rnacentral:rRNA from 1 species
GUCUACGGCCACACCGCCCUGAACGCGCCCGAUCCCGUCUGACCUCGGAAAGCUAAGCAGGGUCGGGCCCGCUCAGUACCUGGAUGGGAGUAUUACUGAAAAUGGGGCCCAAAGACU